CUUCUGGUUCAGCUUACAGGCCUAGCUGUGGCUCCUCUAGGCAGGCAGUGGGAACUCCUGAGAGGCGGAAGCUGGCUGCCUUAACUUGCAGAUCCUCUUGUGGCUUCUUGGAGAAAUACCUCUCAGGAUUCCGUCUGCAGCCUCACUUCACCUCCUACCAGUGCCAGAGAGCAAAGCCAGCCUAAUAUUCCAGAAGUCUUCUCUUCGGAAGGUUUGGCCGAGGCUGAAGAUGUAUUUCCGGUCCCUGCUGCCGGCUGCUCCUUUGGGAUAUUUGGAGGAUGGGUUAACUUCCCAGUUGUAAAAGCGUUUGUUGACUUAUUUAGUCUCCUUCCACCCUGUCCUCUUACACGGCCAACUGGACUUGGAGGUAUGACUCUGUGGAUAGCACAGGGUAUGGGGAAUAGACUACUGG